UAAAACACACAGACCACUGUGUUCAAUGGAUCUUGAAAAUCCGUUUGAAGAAACCGAUCUUCUUUGCUUCUUUCUUUGUUUUCAUUUGCUCCAAGUCUGUCUCUCUUUCCUGCUUUCUGCUUAGUCUGUCUCUUUUCAAUCCAACACAAAAUGUCCUCAAGGAUUUUUUUCUCUCUAUUUGGAGUUCAAUCUUAUCUGCUUGUUUUGUCUCUUUCAGGAUCUUGAUUUUGUUCAUAACGUGUGUUAAUUAAAUCUCCUGGGUUUUUGUAUCCGGGGUUUAUCCAAUUAUGCAUUGCGGAGCCAGCAGCAGCCAGCGGAGUGGCCCAUACCGGCCCCACGACGGGCACUUUUCCCCCCAGCCCGCUACCCGCCAACUGCAGCGAGCACCAGCACCCUUCCCGACCCACAGGGAGGUUCUUGAUCAUAAUUUAAAGUUACCAAUUAGCCUAAAGGGAUUUUUUUUUUAUUUGUGGGAAACCAGAGAACCAGGAGAAAAACCCACGUAGCUGGGGAGAAUAUUAAAACACACAGACCACUGUGUUCAAUGGAUCUUGAAUAUCCGUUUGAAGAACCCGAUCUUCUUUCCUUCUUUCUUUGUUUUCAUUUGCUCCAAGUCUGUCUCUCUUUCCUGCUUUCUGCUUAGACUGUCUCUUUUCAUGCCGACGCAAAUGUCCUCAAGGAUUUUAUUUCUCUCUUUUGGAGUUUAAUCUUAUCUUCUUGUUUUGUCUCUUUCAGGAUCUUGAUUUUGUCCAUAAUUUGUGUUAAUUCAAUUUCCUGGGUUUUUAGUAUCCAGGGUUUUUUCAAUCACGCGUUGGUUAUCUUCUUCUUUAAGGUUACUAGUUAGCCUAAAGAGAUUUUUUUUUAUUUGUGGGAAACCGGAGAACCAGGAGAAAAACCCACGCAGCUGGGGAGAAUAUUAAAACAGGCCAUGAUGGAGAAGGUGGUACUGGAGCAGUUUGUGGAGGGGCUUCCGGCCUGGACGGAAGCGUGGGUCCAGUACCACCGCCCGCUGACGCUGGAAGCGGCCAUCACCCUGUUUAUAUUGUGAAGUCUGAAGGAAAGCUUUGCUAUCUCUUGAAUAUCCGUUUGAAGAAACCGAUCUUCUUUCCUUCUUUCUUUGAUUUCAUUUGCUCCAAAUCUGUCUCUCUUUCCUGCUUUCUGCUUAGACUGUCUCUUUCCAUGCCGACGCAAAUGUCCUCAAGGAUUUUAUUUCUCUCUUUUUGGAGUUUAAUCUUAUCUUCUUGUUUUGUCUCUUUCAGGAUCUUGAUAUUGUCCAUACAUUGUGUUAUUUCAAUCUUCUGGGUUUUUAGUAUCCAGGGUUUUUUCAAUCACGCGUUGGUUAUCUUCUUCUUUAAAGUUACCAAUUAGCUUAAAGGGAUUUUUUUUUAUUUGUGGGAAACCGGAGAACCAGGAGAAAAACCCACACAGCUGGGGAGAGUAUUAAAACACACAGACCACUGUGUUCAAUGCAUCUUGAAUAUCCGUUUGAAGAACCCGAUCUUCUUUCCUUCUUUCUUUGUUUUCAUUUGCUCCAAGUCUGUCUCUCUUUCCUGCUUUCUGCUUAGACUGUCUCUUUUCAUGCCGACGCAAAUGUCCUCAAGGACUUUAUUUCUCUCUUUUUGGAGUUUAAUCUUAUCUUCUUGUUUUGUCUCUUUCAGGAUCUUGAUAUUGUCCAUACAUUGUGUUAAUUCAAUCUCUUGGGUUUUUGUAUCCAGGAUUUCUUCAAUCACGCGUUGGUUAUCUUCUUCUUUAAAGUUACCAAUUAGCCUAAAGGGAUUUUUUUUUUAUUUGUGGGAAACCGGAGAACCAGGAGAAAAACCCACGUAGCUGGGGAGAAUACUAAAACAGGCCAUGAUGGAGAAGGUGGUACUGGAGCAGUUCGUGGAGGGGCUUCCGGCCCGGACGGCAGCGUGGGUCCAGUACCACCGCCCGCCGACGCUGGAAGCGGCCAUCACCCUGGCGGAGGACCACUUGGCGGUGCACCCCAGCGGGAAAAGGGACCUUGGGGGCGACCCGCCCUCGACCCGACCAGCAGCCGCAACACGAGGGCAGAGCCAGCAGCAGAGUGACCCAUACCAACAGUGCUAACUCUAUAUCUUCUAUUUAUAUUGUGAAGUCUGAAGGAAAGCUUUGCUAUCUCUUGAAUAUCCGUUUGAAGAAACCGAUCUUCUUUCCUUCUUUCUCUGUUUUCAUUUGCUCCAACUCUCUCUCUCUGUCCUGCUUUCUGCUUAGACUGUCUCUUUUCAUGCUGGCGCAAAUGUUCCUAAGCAAUUCAUCUCUCUCUUUUCGGUAUCUAAUCUUAUCUCCUUGAUUUGUGUCUUUCAGGAACUUGAUGCUCUCCAUAAAUUCUGUUAAUUCACUCUCCUGGGUUUGUGUAUCCAGGGUGUUUUCAAUCACGCGUUGGUUAUUCUUCUUUAGAAUCGCGACUUCUUCCUCCAGUAUUCCGAGUGCGUUAUUAAAUUUGAACUUCAAGACCUCGUUCUCAUUCUGAAGAUUUUUCAUGGUAUUUGACAUUUCGGCUUUAUUUCUCAACUCCAUCUUAAACUGCUUAUUCUCACAGAUUUGCAUUGCGAGAGAUGUCUCCUUCAGAUGAUUAUAUUUUUCUUCCCAGGCUAUUUUACUAUUGAGGUACAGCUGCUCUUGACAGGCUAGACGUUGUCUGGUCUCCUUGAUCAAAAGAGACUGACCUUCUCCGGUGUCGAAAAGUUUCAUGAGUUUGUAGUUCUCAGCAGACAAUUCUUUUUUAUCUUUCUUAAACUGUUUAGCCAGGUUCUCAGUAGCCUCUUUUUGAAGUUCCAAAUCUGACCGCAGACCGUUUAUAGCCUUAUUACAGAGCUUAAUAUGCUGAUGGAGGUGGAUUAUUUUAUCUUUGUCAGCUUUGGCCCGGAAGCGUAAUGUCUCCAACUGAUUUAGAGAUUUGUCCUUGAACUUCUGUAGUUCAGUUAUCCGCGUCCUGCAGACUUCGUCUUCACAAUUAAGGGGAGCAACCCUUACUCUCCUUUUCAUCCAAUUCAUGCUGCAGUUUGAAGCAAAAUGUAAUGGUGUUGAAAUGCUGAUGUCUCUUAAAGGCUGUUUGACAAUGACAACGUUGGUAAGUAACACUUAGCACUGAAGUUGAUACAAUGUAUGUCUCAUCAAAGCAGUUCUAGAGUGAUGAACUCAUGACGCAUUUGUAACCAUAGAUACGCAUCAUGACGCAUUCGUAACCAUAGAUACGCAUCAUGACGCAUUCGUAGCCAUAGAUACGCAUCAUGACGCAUUCGUUGCCAUAGAUGCAACAAAACAGCGGAAUUUUUUGUUUUAUUAGUUAUAAUCAAAAUGAUUUGUAUUAUAUUUAUUUACUGAAAAUGUGUAAUUAGUAGGCUUGGUUAUCGAGGAUCGAUUGGGAUCGGGACUAGCUUUGCAAUUUACCCGGAAUUGUUCAAAAGUUUAAAAUUCGAUUCCUAGUUUCGAUUCUCAGUCCGCCGGCUCCGAGCGGAAAAAGAAACCUCUGAACACCAACGAAGAAGCGUCCACCGGAAGUGUUGGCAUAACACCGCGACCGAACAAGGACAGCGUGCGUCGGCGGUCCAAAGUGUGGUUACACUUUUCGAAACAAACCGCAAGCUCAGCAAAAUUGUUUCAUGCAUAAGAGGGUGCACGUCAAAUAUGAUUAAGCACCUCCGAGGUCAUGGAGUGGAAGUAAAAGUGUGCCCCGUGUUUGACGCGCUGCCUCUUCCUCUGGCUCCAAGGGUUUAGCCCGUCAGUGGGAGCAAGAAACGUACUGAUGGCGAUCCAGAGACGGACACGGGAGUCUGUCUGAGAGACACAACCAGCAAUAGAAGAAUAAAAGUAUUCAGAGCAAACCUGCCGUGUCCUAUUCCAGACCCCCAAGAGUACCUGCGUGUUACAGUGGCGCCCAACGUGGGGCUGGAUAGGCCGUUCGCCUACAGGGAGCGGCUGAAGGACGCAAGGCCGAAAUGAAAACCUGCUUACAAGCACUGAUAAAAUAAACGGAUUCCGUUUAAAGAUGCAGCUCUGGCAACAACAUGUGCAGCGUGGCAACCUUGAGAUGUUCCUGCCCACCGAGAAACGUCAUGAUGACAACACUGCUGCAAUGUGCGAGGUGACCUACUACCUACAGACGGAAUCCUCAUUCAAAGCAACGACCUGAAGAUUGAUGAGACUCCGAUGACCGGAGUGUCAGAUCACGUCAAGAAGACUGUCAACAAGGACGUCUUUUUGUUUUUGGAUGCUCUGCACCCCUCGCAUGUCAUUACAGCAAGAAAAACAUCAUGAGAAAAAACGUUCAAUGUUAUUAUUGCAUGUCAAAUUAAGCCAAUUUUACCUGACCUUCAAGUUUAUCUGAAAAUGCAAGGACACGCAGACUCAAGAGCCCCUUGCCUGCCUUUCCCUUCUUGGGAUUGGUUUGCUACCUACAUCCUUUAAGGAGUCUGACAGUUCCAGUAUCAUAGCAUAAUUCCGGUUUCUAAUGAACCUUCUAAAGGCCUCCAAGCCAAUAUACAACAGGCCUUUACAGAGAUAUCCAGCAUAUUUUUUGAAGACCACGUUUUUGGAUGCCAGUAGAGGAAGAUCAUCUUUGGAAUCUACUUUUUCCAUGCAAUCAUCCAGGAGAGGAAGAGGUAUGGUCCACUGGGCUGGAACAUUCACUACGGGUUUAACGACAGUGACCGAGAGUGUGACCUGCUUAACCUCAACCUCUACUGCAAAGACAGCGCAAUCCCUUGGGACGCUCUCAUCUACAUCACUGGUAGGGAAGCUUUAGCACAGUGAUGAGAGUGCAUUUGCAUGCAGGUCUAAUUUUCUUAAUACUUGUAUGCGGUGUAAUCCACCCCUAACUGUUCAUAUCUAAUCUAAUCAAUUAAAUUAAAUGAUGUGUAUUUAAUAUUCUCCAUCGUGGAGCUUCAUAAUAAAUGUCUUCAACGUUAUAAUAGAAGAGGGAAGGAUCCCUUUCAUAACAAUACUUCACAUUGCCAACGUUCAUUUGUUUUUCUAAUCUGGAUUUCACUUACACCUUUAAAUGAUUAAAUGCAUUCAGCAUCAUGGGAGCGUACCACUUUGCUAUUAAAAAUAUGUCUCAUUGUUAUCAUCAGAAUAUUGUCGUACCAGCUUAAACCAUUUUUCUAGAAAGCCAGAGCGACACACUAUUUCAGGUAAAGAAUUUGGGCUCAAACCUUUAUAGUGCAUGUUUGCAUGUGUUUGAUUAAACACACUUUUCCAGUCCCUUUGGUGUAUCUUCAGAUAAUUGAUAUUUUAUUUCGGUCGACGAUAGACACCUGAUUAAGAUGAAUAACAAGGAGCCGUGUGAAUCGGCCAAGCUGACCAAGUUGCAGGAGAACAGAACAAAGAAAAGUGUCAAUCGACAGGGAAAAUGCUUCUAAUUACAAAUUAUAAUUGAACAUUAGCCAACAAAAAAUUAGUAGCAUUAUAUUAUUUGUAGAAUUAGAUUCCAGUGGUGACUGCAUAGCACUGUUACCAGCUUGUGUGGUCCAAUGAUUUUGUGAGGGAUGUUAAGAUUGACGAUAGACUCUCAUUGGUUGAUAUUUAAAGAAGAAUCAUUCAGUGUAAAUAAUAAUGAAAAUCUCCUUUCGGGCUAUUUGGUGGGUCAUUGAAUGAAUGUGAAAAUGACAGUACAUGUGUAGGCAGAAAGAAGAUGGAGGGAUGUACGGCAGAGUAGGUAAAGUAGAUUGAUAACCAGACCAGACACAGAGAUGUUAACAGGACCUUAGAAUUGGGGUGGUUUGAGACGGAAGGAUUGAUGAUCAUCAAAUGAUGAAAUGUUUCCACCACAACCCCCGCACACAACCGCAGCAUUUGUGUCACUUAGGGCAUGCAGUGCAAACACAUAAAAUAUGUCUUUUAAACCACAUUAAGUACACCCCCUGCAGUAGUGGGGCAAGGUGUGGAAACAGUCUGUCUCUGUCGCACACAUUGUCUCAUCCAACCCUGACUGCUCGGAGGGGAAUGUGUUACCACCUGUACAGCCUACAAGCUACUAGUAUUAGACUGCCUGAUUAAUCCGUCUGAUUUUGUGCCGGGUUUAGAUCUUUUGAGGGGGCUUACAGUACGUUUCAUGAAGAGGUUUCCCUUAAGCUGUUAAUGGUGAUGAGUUGUCUGGCUUUGUGGGGGCAUCAUCAGGACAUGUUAGUUCAGGUUGUUAAGCCCUUCUAUUUUUAAUAAUCUCACCUUUAAAUGACAAUAGAAAUGGUAAAUCUGCAGCAGAUGCCAGCAACAUACUGUAAUUCUACAGCAGUCGUGUGUUAACUUUCACAAUCAUUUACAGUAAAAUCGAGUUGCAGUAUGUAUGACUGUUUGACAGUCUGGUAAGGAGUUUGUCUAAUUUAGAUUCUCAGGGUUUUUCUGCAGGCAAAAUGAUUAAUACAACACUCAAAACUAGCAGUUUAAAACAAUUAAUCUGCAACGCAAUUAACCUCAGCUAUGUAUAAUUCUGUGGUUUAAAGGGAUCUGCAUUAUUAUACAAAUGAUGCAACAAUCAACAAAAUAUAUAAAUCAAACAAACUUUAAUUUGACAUGGAACCGUCAGCAUAAAUUCUGGUACUGUAAAAAGACAAUGCACAGAGAUUUUGCGUUCAAAGUCAAGAGGCUUCUUCCGAUUGUAGAGACGUGUGUAUGGACAGUGGUGGACUUCCUCUGGACGAUCACACCCGUCUUCUUGGAGACAACCUUGUCCCUGAUGGUCUCUUUGGAUCAACACCUAUGAAGCAUCUAAAAUCAAGAGUCUAAAAUCAGAGACUGAAAGAAAAAACCUUUUUUUAUCAUAAGUUGUCAUCUUAAAUAUGCUAAAACAUGUCAUGUAUGCUUAUUAUUAUUGCCAAUUGUUACUUUAUAGUGAGAAAGAUAUUCUCCCAUUAUUUUGGUUAACUUGUGAAAUGUCACAUUUUAUUGCAUG